rnacentral:rRNA from 1 species
ACAAUAUUGUAAAAAAAAUUUAAAGAGGAAGUUGAACCGCGUGAAGGUGGAACGGAUAGAGUCGACGUAUCAUUGCAUUAUUAAUACGGUAGGUUUAUGUUGGGAGGUCUGAGCUCCUGAUUGGUACAGAGGGUAUCAUCACAGUUUUGUGUGCUGCGUUUACUUGCUUGGUGCUUGGGGAGGUUUGAGGCACAUUUGUUUCCACCCUUUUGAAGCCCGCUUGUUGGUACCCAACCGGUGUUAGCAUUUUUUGUCUUGGGUUUUGAUUAUGGGUCACUUGCAAUUAUUGUAGAGAUCUGAGUGUAAGUUGCGUUCUCAUGCGACACGCGCUUUUUGAUUAAUUCGGGCCAGUUAAUGCUCUCUUACUCGCUCCCCAAGUAAAUCCCGGUCAUCUCUGCGACCCUUCUUGAGCCGCGGACCACGGAGUUUAUCGUGUGCCCAGUGUUUUGGGUGUUAUAAACCUAAAGGCAAAAUGAAAGUAAAUGACUCUUUAGAGUCUGAUGUGGGAUCUUGUAAAAGAGUGUAGCGUGGCCCCCCUCAAACUGUUUCAGUAGGGUGCGGGGAAAAGCGUUUGCGUAGAGACCCGAAAGAUUGCUUAACUACUCCUGAGCAGGAGUACCCUACAAGAAACUCUGGUGGAAGUCCGAAGCGGUUCUGACGUGCAAAUCGAUCUUCUGACUUGGGGUAUAGGGGCGAAAGACUAAUCAAACCAUCUAGUAACUGGUUCCCUUCCCAA